rnacentral:rRNA from 1 species
UACGGGGGGGGCAAGCGUUGUUCGGAAUUACUGGGCGUAAAGGGCUCGUAGGUGGCCAACUAAGUCAGACGUGAAAUCCCUCGGCUUAACCGGGGAACUGCGUCUGAUACUGGAUGGCUUGAGUUUGGGAGAGGGAUGCGGAAUUCCAGGUGUAGCGGUGGAAUGCGUAGAGAUCCGGAAGAACACCGGUGGCGAAGGCGGUCUGCUGGGGUGAUGCUGACACUGAUGCGCGACAGCGUGGGGAGCAAACAGG